GGCGGCAGGCCUAACACAUGCAAGUCGAGCGGUAGCACAGAGAAGCUUGCUUCUUGGGUGACGAGCGGCGGACGGGUGAGUAAUGCAUAGGAAUCUGCCCGAUAGUGGGGGAUAACCUGGGGAAACCCAGGCUAAUACCGCAUACGUCCUACGGGAGAAAGGGGGCUCCGGCUCCCGCUAUGGGAUGAGCCUAUGUCGGAUUAGCUAGUUGGUGAGGUAAAGGCUCACCAAGGCAACGAUCCGUAGCUGGUCUGAGAGGAUGAUCAGCCACAUCGGGACUGAGACACGGCCCGAACUCCUACGGGAGGCAGCAGUGGGGAAUAUUGGACAAUGGGCGCAAGCCUGAUCCAGCCAUGCCGCGUGUGUGAAGAAGGCCCUCGGGUUGUAAAGCACUUUCAGCGAGGAAGAACGCCUAGCGGUUAAUACCCGCUAGGAAAGACAUCACUCGCAGAAGAAGCACCGGCUAACUCCGUGCCAGCAGCCGCGGUAAUACGGAGGGUGCAAGCGUUAAUCGGAAUUACUGGGCGUAAAGCGCGCGUAGGUGGCUUGAUAAGCCGGUUGUGAAAGCCCCGGGCUCAACCUGGGAACGGCAUCCGGAACUGUCAAGCUAGAGUGCAGGAGAGGAAGGUAGAAUUCCCGGUGUAGCGGUGAAAUGCGUAGAGAUCGGGAGGAAUACCAAUGGCGAAGGCGGCCUUCUGGACUGACACUGACACUGAAGUGCGAAAGCGUGGG
rnacentral:rRNA from 1 species